ensembl:lncRNA
GGCCCCUGGUUCUGCUAACGGGGUCCCUUCCCAGGCCGGCUGUCGUUCCCAGGGGUGCCGCACCCGCCGUGACUGCCCUGCUGGGGUGAGCAGAGCUGUCUGAGCUCCAGCGGGAGCAGCGUGGCCUUGCCAAAACCUCAGGGACAGGGCAGAGACAGAGGAAAGAGACCCUCCCACUGGCAUUGGUGUGCAGCAGCCCCUGGAGACACGGCUGGAAGGACAGGGAACACUGCCAGCAGAGCUCAGAGCAGCGGCUCCUGGACAGAAUUCCAGGUGGCCGGGGGGCUCAGGGCCCCUGGGCUGCCCCAGGCACGGGGCAGUGGCUGUGCCCUGUGCUGGCACUGCUGAGCCUCCAUCUCCAGGGCUGUGCCCAGCUCCAACCCCUCAGCUCAGGCAGGGCCUGAGGGGCUGAAACGUGGCCAGGAAAAGGAGCUGGGAAGGGAAUGGAGCCCAGGAGGGGAUGAGGGAGCUGGGAAGGGAGUGGAGCCCAGGAGGGGAUGAGGGAGCGGGGAAGGGGCUGGAGCCCCAGUAGGGGAACGGAGCUGGGAAGGGAAUGGAGCUCAGGAGGGGCUGAGGGAGCUGGGAAGGGGCUCAGCCUGGAAAAAAGGAGGCUCAGGGGGACCCUGUGGCUCUGCACAGCUCCUGACAAUGCUGCCUGAUGAAGAAUUGAUUGCACCUGGUCUGUUAAUACAAUGAUCAUUUAGCAGAAUCGUUAGGCUAUGGAAGUGCACAUCCAAAAGUACAAUAAACAUUAACCAAGAAGGGAAAAAGAAAGUACACUGCACCCACUCCCAGCCCCACAAAUGAGCGAGCCAGGCCAGCUGUGCCAGCCCUUCUCCUCAGGUCACCCUGUGGUCACACACAGCUGUGGGGUCCCCAGCACUCAGGGACCCCCAGACACCCCGGGACAUGGGGAUGUGUGUGCUGGGGAGGGAACACAUGUCAGGGAAGGGGUCACUGUGUGUGUGUGUGUGUGCUGGGACAAGGUUAUCACCACACGUGUGCUCCAGGAGAAGCUGUCAGGGAUGUGUUCACCGUGUGUUUGUGUGCUCUGGAGAAGCUGAAUGAGGAGCGGCUGCUGCUCCUCGGGCUCUGCUCCAGGAACAGGGACAGGAGCAGAGGGAACAGCCCCAGGGCAGCUCAGGGUGGAACCAGCAGGAAUUUCCCUAUGAAAAGGGAGUUCAGCCUGGAGGUGCCCAGGGAAGGUUGGAGUGCCCAUCCCUGGAGGUGUCCCAGCAAUUCCGGAGGUGCACUUGGAGCUCUGGGCUGGGGACAAGGUGGGGAGCAGGCACAGGCUGGGCUGGACGGGCUGGGAGGGGUUUUCCAGCCUGGAUCCAUCUGUGGGAUGUGUGGCCAUCGGGAGAUGCUGUGCCUGGGGUCACUGUGCCCGGUGACACCCUGGGACACGCCACAGCCCAGCCAGCUGAGGCACAGGUGACAUCCUCAUGUCCCCACUGACUCCACAGAAGGAGGCCCUGCCCCAUCCCUGCCCCCAGUGCAUCUGUGGUGCCACUGGGAACACUGGGCUGGUCUGGAAAGGCACUGGGAGCUGGUGGGAUAUACUGGAAUCGGGCUCUGGGCCAUGAUAACAUCAUCCUGGAGUCCUGGAUCACACUCAAAGUCCUGCAGAGGGCACAAGGCUAUACUGGGAAGCCCUGGUCCAUACUGGAAAGGAGAGGUUUGGCUCUACUGGGAGCAACAGUGGGAGAAAUUACUGCAAAAGUGGAAAAAAAAAGUAUGAAAGAACAAGGGAAAAGGACAAAAAAGGGGCACAAAUGGGCAAGAAGAGGUGAGAAAAACAGUCAAAAUUGGGAAAUUACCAAAGUAAAAUGGUGAAAUGCUGCAAAAACCAGCAGGGUAGGCACGCCGAGCACCAUCCCAGUGUGGGCCCACUGCUCCCAGUACAACACUGGCCUCCACCACAGGUCUGCUGGCACAGUCCCAGUAUGUGCCCAGUGCUCCCAACAUACCACCAGCACUCCCAGUACAAUGCUAGCGAGCCACAGCUCUUCAGGCAGGAUCCCAGUAUGGCCCAGUGCUCCCAGUACAACACCAGCAUCAUCUACAGUCAAAUCAAGAUCCUGAUAUGAUCCCCAGUGUUCCCAGUACAAAGCCAGUGCUUCCAGUAUGGAGCCAGCCUCAGGCUGCAGCUCUCCUCAUGCCGGCCAGAAGUGAAUUCCCAGUGUUCCCAGUAUGGGUCCUGUGGCUCUGAGAGUAGCUCCAGUGCAGACCCCAGCACAGGCCCCAAAGCUCCCAGUGCUCCCAGUGCAGGUCCUGAGGUUGCCAGGGCACUCCCAGCACUCCCAGUACAGAUUUCAGUGUGCUCCCAGUGCUCCCAGUCCAGCCCAAUAAACAUCUUUUAGCUCAGCCCA